CUGAGACAGAGCGCGUGCCAACUGCACCUGCGCGGGGACUGAGUUCUCGGAGAAGGGACCCAAUAGGUAAAUGACUCCAGAAGGUCUUCUCCCAGCAGCCAGAAUAAGACAGGAAAUGAAGCCGCUUUAUUGACAAGAAUGGGUUUCAUUCUGGCAACCUUGAUUAACACAAGAGGAUAUUGAAAGGAUUUGAAGAAAGUUAUCCCGCUGAUUCCUUAACAAGAUGAAAAGAAAAUAAGGCAGAAAAUUCUCCAGCAGAGCUGAGCUGAGGAAACUGAGGCUCAGGGAAAGAGAACUGGCACUUGCUUUUGACCCCAAAUCCUGGCUCUCCUGGCUGCUCUGUGAAAUCCUAAAUCAUGGUAACCCUGGAUACCACCAUACCAGCUUUGGUUGCAUGAUAGAAUUAAGGCCAAUAGCAUCUAUGCUGCAGUGAAGGCAUGGAUGGGAAACUCGCAGUGAAGGAGAGUGUAAUUCAUUGAAAUGACAAAUACAUUGCAUCUGUGCUAUAAACUAUGACUGAAAUGCUUCCUGCUCUCCUUAAGGAAGUGAAUAAGGUAAGCAAAGCUCUGUUUACCACAUGGGAAAGCACCUUCACAAAAACCCAGGCCUGGACUCAGCCCCUGGUUCUGUGCACAGUGCUAAACCCAACGGGAUUUCCAGUGACUCCUAGAUGAAGCAGACAUUAUUUCGCUCUACAGUCUCUUCCCUAUGCUCACAAACCAGCCUCUAGGAACUUAUCCCCCACUAGCCAGUUCACAUUUUUCAUAUGAACUCUGAGGGAUAUUUUUAAAAAUCGACUGAGGCAGACUGGGUUCCCAU
rnacentral:lncRNA from 1 species